CUCCCCCCGCCCUUUCCACGUGGUGCAGGGCGGGGAUUCCGUGAUACGUCACUUCUGUUUCUGUCGUGGUGUAGAAGAGCUGCGUGUGGAGUAGGACAAUGCCUAAGUCAAAGGAACUUGUGUCUUCAAGCUCAUCUGUCAGUGACUCAGAUAGUGAAGUUGACAAAAAGGCAAAGCGGAAAAAGCAAGCAGCUCCAGAAAAGCCUGUAAAGAAACAAAAGACUGGUGAAAGUUCAAAGGGUGCAGCUUCUUCUAAGCAAAACAGUAACAGAGAUGAGAAUAUGUUUCAGAUUGGCAAAAUGAGGUAUGUCAGUGUUCGUGACUUUAAAGGGAAAGUCUUAAUUGAUAUUAGAGAAUAUUGGAUGGAUCAAGAAGGUGAAAUGAAGCCCGGCAGGAAAGGACCCCCAGGUCCCUUUCCACAGAGCUGCUACCAUGACAUAUUUGAAAGUGUGUAGAGCAGUGCACUGACCCAUUUUUGGUCAACACAUCUUGGUCUGCUAUAGGUGAGGGAAUAAGGUUUCACUUUUGAGCCUGAACUCAAACACCACGGGUGAAAACCUGAGGUUUCUGAAACUGUGGUGGUCUGCUGCUUCCUGAGCUAAUGGGUAAAUUAGUUCCAUCCUGAAGAUCCCAAACACUUUGCUCUUCAGCACCAUGUCAAUUCUGCUCUUCCCUUCCCUGCUCCUUAUCAUUUUCUCUUCCUGGGAUGUGUUGCAUUUCUCCAUUGAAAAUAAAUUUUAUGCUUCCUCUUAUGAGGAAGGGAAGGAGAACUGAGAACAGAUACUCAAGGAACAGCUGGAGACCAAGAUCAUUAAUGAAAAAAAUCCCAUGCUUCCCAGCCCCUGCACAACCUAGAGGCUUCCCUGCAAGCUUGAGGGUUGACGCUUCUAUAAAGCCUGAUGGGAACGUCUGCGUGAAGUCACCAGACUACCAGAGGCCAGGCAGAGCAUACCUUACAGAGAGCUGGCUUCUACCCCUCUGUAGAUAUAAAGGGCUCUUUGAAGGCACACCACUGAAAGUCCUGAAAGGCCAUUUGCCCAAGAAUAACCAAGAAGAUUAUACUAAUCUGAGGAUCACUAAAGAGUAAAAUCCCUAGUAUUCAAUUACACCGGAGGGCACCUUGAUUAUUUCGUAAUAGCACAAAAGUCAAAACAGUCCCCACAGGAAGAGGCAGUUACAUGCCAUGUUUACUCCAUACCAUGCAGGGAAUUGGUUUGUCUCUGUUCUUGCUCUAGGGUUUCUUUUCCAUUCAGGAUUUGUAAAUCAAUUUCCUCUUCCUAUUCAAACCAAAGAAAUCCAUGUUCCUGCAUAUUUUAAAUGACUAUUUGCAUUACAGAGAAGCCAAGCACUUUGCAAAUGGCAUUUCAAACUGCUUAUUUUUUUGCCUGCUCCUUACAAGAUUUCUUAAUGUACUUGGCAUCUGCAAGCUAAAACUUCAGUUUUGUCCUACACUGUAUUCCCAUGACACAAUUUCUGCUGCUUAUUUUGUUGUGGAGGUGCAACAUCCCAUAUGCAUUCUAUCUUUGUUGUCACUCUUCUAGCUUUUGAAUAAACACAACAGUUUAUUUCCAUCUCCAGAAGAACCAAAUCUCACUAUGUCAGUCAUCUGUUUUGUUUUUAAAAAUGCUUCCUCUCAUACAGAGACUUUUAUACCAUAUUUUUCUUCUAUGAGUCUUCAUUUAUUUUGAGGCUUUAGGAUCUUUCUUUUGUGUGUAUAAAUCAAAGCUUGUUAAAAAAAAGAAAGGAAAAUCCAAGAUUUCUUUCCCCUGUAUCACUAUAAUCAAACUAACAAUUCGUUUGGGUCUGAUUCAUAUUUUCAUGCAAAGCCCCCUGCCUCUGCUGGAAUUGGUGUAACUGAGCAUCAGACCUUCCUUUUUACUUCUCAGAGAUGGCUAUAGCAUUUUUCCUGUAUCACAAGAAAAAAUAUCAAAGGGUUAGAACGUGAAAUGGGAUCCAAGGUUAAGUCUCUCUGAUUUAGUGUGGAGACCUUGGAGAUUUCUGCAGUUUGCACAAGGACAGAUAUAAAUCUUAUGUAAUCCUGCUCCAGCAGAGAGGCUUUGCAUAAGAACUUCUACAAAUGAAGCACCUAAUUACCACCAAAUAUGUAGCAAAGGAGUGAGAGUAAAUCUUUGAUAUGCUGUACCAGUUCUUAGAGAUCGUGACAAACCAAAACAUCACAGACGAAUGAAUAUGUAGAAGAUUACAAAUAUGGACCCAUGGGCAGAGUUUCACAAAGUGAUGAGAUCUGGUUUUGGCAUUAUCAAGGUUAAAAAAGCUGAAGCCACAUUCUGCAGAGAGUUGAACCAGCAUAAAUUCACUGCACUCAAUAGAAAUCAUUCAUACCUUUUUGAAGUGAUUUCUUUAAAAUUAUUUUUUUUGUCCAGUAGAAUUUUUCCCACAUGGAAUAUUGCAUAUCUGUACAAUGCCAUGGCUGAAACAUCCUCCAUUCUCAGUUUUAUACUAUGCACUUGCUCUUUUGCUUGAAUGUUCAGUCUCAGACAUUUCAUUGCCUACCGCCAAAGUAGCCUCAAUCCAUCUUUUUAGCAGAUUCCUCUGGCCUUGAGGGAAGAAAUAACUUUGCUGCUGUGGAAUGACUCACAGGAUCACAUUAUCAUGUGUGAGGGUUGUGUCAAAAGGGAUCCAGUAAGGACCUGAAGGAAGAGAAACACAAGCAUAUCCCCGUCCCCAGGGAACCCCCAUGGUUGCAAAACAUCGCAAAAAAUGUUUCACAACAUCCUGGGCCCGUUCCCCAGAAUGAGCAGUGGCUAUUAAAAACCCAGAGAAGGUAUCGAUAGAAAUGUGGACAUACUUAAGUCAUCCAAAGGAAGAAAUGUGUGUGACAUUUGAUUGCCACAAGUCAUUUGCAUUUAAACCUCUAGGAUUAGUUCCAGGCAAAACAGGUAAAGGAGAAAGCCACUGAUAAUCCGGGCAUGCCCAAAUUAUAUCCUGAGCUUGUUCAGUUGUUAGAGAAAAAUGUUUCCGUAAGGAGUGUGCAUUUUGAUGAAAAAAUUCAUGAGCCAAUUUGGCCUGCUCAAAACGCCAAGGAGAAACUGCAGCCAUUGUAAAUCGAUAUGCUAUUGCAUUACCUUCAACUAGGGGUCCUGGUAGGUUAGUGUGAGAUCGAAUAUGGAUGACAAAAUAGAAAUGUCUCAUUUUUAAAAGCUGCACUAGUUUUAACAAGAAAAAAAACAACUGCUUGUUGUCCAUCUCCCGUAUAAAAGCAUAUUCUAAACACUGAAUAAUACCCAUGACGUAUGCAGAAUCUGCAUAUAUUAAGAGGUUUCCUGGAAAAUAAUUCAAAAGUACGAACUGCUGCAGCUAAUUUCACAAUUUGUGUAGACCCAGAUAGAUGCAAAACAUCUGAGGCCCAGUCUGCACAGUCUGUUUGUCGUCAAACAACUGCAGCUUUACCAGAACCAUCAAUACAGUACGUGCAUUUUGCAAAGGAACAGAACUCAACAAAGAUCGUGGUUAGAGAGGUAAGCAGUGUAAAAAACCUAAUAAACGAUGACGUGGCAAAGAAUGCAAAACAACAUCAGUAUAAUCAGCCAAGGCAGCCUGAAAAGUUAAACUGUUACACAACACAGGGUGAAACUCUUCUUUUGUUAAUGGUAAAUGGAUAAAGACAGGAUCUCAUCCUGUUAUUUGUUGACAUUUCACAUGACCUUGUGAAACAAGUCUGGCAAUCAUCUCUAGGACAGUGGUUAAUGUCUUGGCAAAAGAAUGUGGUAGAAAUAGCCAUUCUAAAAUGCACAAAGCAUCCUCUUCCUUCUGCGCUUUUUUGUCCCAUUGGCCUAGAAGAGCAUACGGUUGAAAAGAAUGGUAAAUGACAAACAAUCAAACUGACAACUGGAGGGAAAUUCAGUGAGCGAAUGUGGAAUUAGAUUUAUCUGUCACUGAAGUGCUGACUGAGCGCCUUCUGUCAAUUGUCUAGGAGAAGUUAGCUCAGGAUUCCCCUUCAGUAAAGAAAACAGAGGUGACCAUGUGUUGUUAUACCUAACAGAGGUUGAAGCCAGUUAAUUGUUCCCAACAGCUUUUGUAAAUCAUUCAAAGUACUCACUGUGGUAGCAAGUCGGACCGACUGUGGAUAUACAUACAAAUCAAGAAGUUUCCAACCAGUGUAUUUCCAUGGAGGAACUGACUGCACCUUUUCUGUCGCAGUUUGGAGGCCAUAUCACAGAUGCUCAGUUACUAGACCUUCAAAAACUUGGGAAAGAAGUGAUUCAGUUUCAACAGCUAAUGAAAUAUUGUCCAUAUAAUGAUAUAACAUGAUGUUAUUAUACAGUCUGCGAAUAGUCAACAAGGCUUCACUGACCACCACUUGACAUAUGGUUGGGCUGUUUUUCAUCCCUUGCGGUAGAACUACCCAAUGAAACCGCUGCAUAGGUCGAUCAUUAUUAAUCACAGGAACUGAAAAGGCAAAACGAACACAAUCAUCAGAAUCUAAAUGAAUAUUAAAAAAGCAAUCUUUCAAAUCAAUAACCCUCAAAUGCCAAUUAUCCAGAAUCAUAGUUGGAUUUGGAGUUCCUGGUUCUAGAGACCCCAUAGGUCCCAUCACUGCAUUAAUAGCUCGGAGGUCUAGCAACAGUCUCCAUUUACUAGACUUUUUAGGAAUAACAAAUAUAGGGGUAUUCCAAGGGCUCAUGGAAGGGACAAUAUGACCUAAUUUCAAUUGUUCUUGCACUAAUUCAUGAGCCCUUUCUAGCCGCUCACCUUUCAAAGGCCACUGGUCUACCCAUAUUGGCUUGUCUGUCAGCCAAGUCAGCUUGAGUCACGGCUGAAUGUCAGUGGCCUGCAUUAAAAAUGUGUCAUUAUUGCUAUGUUCCACUGUUGCAGGAGAUCACGACCCCAUAGAGUACAUGGCACAGUCAAAACACAAGGUUUUAAAACUGCUUGUUUGUUUUCAGGACCUUCUGCUAACAAGGAAUGUAUACUUUGCCAAGGUACUUGUGUUCCUCCAAUUCCAGUAACAGCAGCAAACGGCUGUACUAAUGGCCAUUCCUGCGGCCAAUCUGACCGUUGAAUUAUAGAAACGUCCACUCCAGUGUCCACUAGACCUGUGAACACCCAACCGUUUAUUCUACAAGCCAACAGCAGAGCAGUUGUCCCAUGGUAAUUUUCUGUGUCCAAAAAAUGCGAGGCAAACCUGUGCUUCCAAACCCAGCAGAUCCCCUUUUGCCAGCAUGGGCGGGGUUUCCAGCUUGCAUCUGUGUGUUGGACAGCAGGAGCAACUGUGCAAUUCACUCCCCUGCAGGUACAGUGCAAGGUGGUGUAGGUGUCCAAACCAUAAUUUUUCUCUCUCCUGUAUAAUCAGAAUCUACAACCCCAGGCAAAACAAAUAGGCCUACUCUGGAAGUAGAGGAACGACCAAGCAAUAAGGCACAUAAACCCUUAGGUAAAGGACCAUACACUCCUGUUGCCAAGAAAUGUACAGAUUGAUCUCGAAUUACUGUGGGUUGACUGGUGGCCAGGUCCAACCCGGCACUGUCUGCUGUGGCUGGUUUGAGAGAACCGACUGUUGUAGAUUGCCCAUGCUCGGCUCGCUUACAUGCGCCAGCCAUGUCAAGGACUGCGCCAGUGGAAGCUGGGUCCUGUUGUCCAUUCUCAGGGCGCCAAACCUCGUGCCCCUCCUCCCGUUUCCCGAUGCGCUUCCAGAGAGGGGAUUGCCCUGUUUGUCAAACUUAGAACAACAUUGAUUAGCCCAAUGGUAUUCUUUCUGACAACAAGGACAUAGCUGAGUAGGUUGCUGUCCCUGCUCUCCUUGACCUCGUCCUCCUCUUUUUGCUUUCAGGCAAUCCUUCUUUACAUGUCCCUCCUGACCACAGGAGAAACAGUUAGUAGCAGCUCUUGCAACCACCAACAGUCGAGCUAAGGCAGCAGCUAACAUAUCUGCCUUAUGUCGCUCAGAACCUACGUUUUGGCAUGCUUUAAUAAGAUCAUUCAAGGUUUUUGCUCGAUUGCAAAUAGGAUCAAUAGCCUGUUUACAGUCGGUGGUCGCAUUCUCAAUGGUGAGCUGAAACAAUAAUAAUUCUACUGCUUCAGAAGACUCUGUAUAGCAGUCUGUAAAUGAUCUAGAAAUUGUACAUAUGAUUCCUGAGGUCCCUGAUGAAUGGCAGCAAAUGAUGAUUCUCGUUUUCCAAAAUCUGGCACCCAUCGGAGUGCCCUCAAGGCUAACCCUGCCGCUUGAGUAAAAAUGUUUCAUGGCAUACCAGCUUGUGCUGUCCCCGUAAUAUAAUUCCCUUCCCCCAUCAACUCAUUAACACCAAUAGCGAUUCCAGCCAUUAAAUUGUCCAUUACCUGGACCUGAACUAGCUCACGGUAUUCAGAAACCCACACAGAAUAUUGUGCUGCAGACAAGCUAAGGCGCAAAAUGAAUAUCCAGUCCAUGGGUGUCAUUACAUAGGAUUCUGCUAUAUCUUGUAGCAAAUUCAUUGUAAAUGAUGCCUGUAAACCAUAUUCCUUUAUUGACUUACACAGCUCCUUUAUCACUUCAUAUGGUAAAUGAGUAUACUCUGGUGGCCUAUGUGGUUGAUAUAACACAGGCAUGGCUUGAAGGAGUGAUAUAUCCCCUCUUUUUAAUGCUUCUGUCUGGCUCUUAUCAAGCAGCCUGCCUGGAGUUGUAGGCUGAACAGCUCUGUGCUGGUUUUGGCUGAGAAGCAGUUAAUUCUCCUCCCUGUGUGUGUGUUGACUACCUUUCCAGCUUCCCGCGCUCUGCUGCUCUGCUGCGUGGCGGGAGGCUGGGAAGGGCAGAGCCACGGGGGGGGGGGGGGCGGCUGACCCCGACUGGCCAAUGGCAUGUUCGUUCCAUACCAUGUAACACCAUGACCAGCAUAUUAAGGGGGGGAAUGGCAGUUUGCAGCUCGGGGAAGAUGCGGCGUCGGGUUGGCGGGCGGUGAGAGGCUGCGUUGCGUGUGGUUUCUUUCGGUGGUUCCCCCCUCCCUUCGCCCCUCCCUUCCCCCCCGGGUUUCGCACCUCUCGUUCUCAUUUACAUUGCAUUUUUGUUGUUGUUUCUUUUAAUUUUAAUUAUUAAACUGUUCUUAUCUCAA